rnacentral:rRNA from 1 species
GAAUUCGCCCUUAGAGUUUGAUCCUGGCUCAGGACGAACGCUGGCGGCGUGCCUAACACAUGCAAGUCGAGCGAAUGAAAUUCCUUCGGGAACGGAUUUAGCGGCGGACGGGUGAGUAACACGUGGGCAACCUGCCUCAUAGAGGGGAAUAGCCUUCCGAAAGGGAGAUUAAUACCGCAUAAGAUUGUAGUACCGCAUGGUACAGCAAUUAAAGGAGCAAUCCGCUAUGAGAUGGGCCCGCGGCGCAUUAGCUAGUUGGUGAGGUAACGGCUCACCAAGGCGACGAUGCGUAGCCGACCUGAGAGGGUGAUCGGCCACAUUGGGACUGAGACACGGCCCAGACUCCUACGGGAGGCAGCAGUGGGGAAUAUUGCACAAUGGGGGAAACCCUGAUGCAGCAACGCCGCGUGAGUGAUGACGGCCUUCGGGUUGUAAGGCUCUGUCUUCAGGGACGAUAAUGACGGUACCUGAGGAGGAAGCCACGGCUAACUACGUGCCAGCAGCCGCGGUAAUACGUAGGUGGCGAGCGUUGUCCGGAUUUACUGGGCGUAAAGGGAGCGUAGGCGGAUUUUUAAGUGAGAUGUGAAAUACUCGGGCUUAACCUGAGUGCUGCAUUUCAAACUGGAAGUCUAGAGUGCAGGAGAGGAGAAGGGAAUUCCUAGUGUAGCGGUGAAAUGCGUAGAGAUUAGGAAGAACACCAGUGGCGAAGGCGCUUCUCUGGACUGUAACUGACGCUGAGGCUCGAAAGCGUGNGGAGCAAACAGGAUUAGAUACCCUGGUAGUCCACGCCGUNAACGAUGAAUACUAGGUGUAGGGGUUGUCAUGACCUCUGUGCCGCCGCUAACGCAUUAAGUAUUCCGCCUGGGGAGUACGGUCGCAAGAUAAAACUCAAAGGAAUUGACGGGGGCCCGCACAAGCACCGGAACCUGGGGUUUAAAUCCAAGCCAACCGAAAAAACCUAACUAGACUUGA